rnacentral:rRNA from 1 species
UACGUAGGGUGCGAGCGUUGCUCGGAAUUACUGGGCGUAAGGGGCGCGUAGGCGGAUAUUUAAGUCGGGGGUGAAAGCCCAGGGCUCAACCCUGGAACAGCCUUCGAUACUGGAUAUCUUGAGUACGGGAGAGGUGAGUGGAACUCCGAGUGUAGAGGUGAAAUUCGUAGAUAUUCGGAAGAACACCAGUGGCGAAGGCGGCUCACUGGUCCGGUACUGACGCUGAGGUGCGAAAGCGUGGGGAGCAAACAGG